GGGAAGAUGGCCGAGUGGUCUAAGGCGCCACGUUCAGGUCGUGGUCCAGAAAUGGGCGUGGGUUCGAACCCCACUCUUCUCA
rnacentral:tRNA from 2 species